AACCAGCUGCAGUACUUUUUGUGUUGUGUGCAAGUGUUUGUUUUUUACAAUAAGUUUUGUUGCGUUUGGGUUUGUGUUUUCUUUGUUUUGUAGUGCUUAUUGUGAAAGUUUAAGUAGGUUCAUGUCUGCAGGCCAGGCAGGUCAUUAAACUUAACAAAAAAUAAGUAAGUUUGGAUGGGGGAAUGAAAAUCUCCACGUAUAUAUUCUUAUAAGCUGUAAUGCUCACCACAAAGAUCUGCGAGUGAAGCCUGUGAGACGAACACACUAACUCUGGACACUCUGUCAGGCUACAUUUUACGUUUUUGGGAGUGAGCAGGUGUUACUGUUCCCCGGGUUGGUUUUGAAGUCCUGGCUCUCAAGUAAUUUUUCUGCUUCUCAAAAGUACUGGAAUUACAAAGAUCACCAUCAAAAGCUACAAACUGGAAACAGUAGAGGAAGAUACUAGCCCCGUGUUUCUGAUUCAGUAUCACUGAAAUACUUUGGAACCAUAUAAAGGGCAAAGUACAUUCCACAUGUUGAAGGACAGUGCCUGGCCCUGUGGGGUGUCAUCCCCAUGCUGUAGGCAUAGUGGCAACCCAGGGGUUCAUCUCAACUCCCAUCAGAGUUCAAACAUUGAAUUAGUUGUGCAAUGGAAGGAGUAUUACCAGGACCCAGAUGCAGCCCAAGGAAAAAAGAAAACAAAAGGAGACACACACAGUAAGUGGUGUCUCAUUGUGAUUUGGAUUUGCAUUUCCCUAGUGAUUAGUGAUGGGAAACAUAUUUUCAUGUGUUAUUGGUCAUUUGUUUAUCUUCUUUGGAGAAAUAUUUAUUCAAGUCCUCUGCUCUCUCUCUUUUUUUUUUGAGUCAGAGUCUCGCUGUAUUAGUCUGCUCUCACACUGCUCAUAAAGACAUACCUGAAGCUGGGUAAUUCAUAAAAGAAAGAGGUUUAAUUGACUCACAGUUCCACAUUGCUAGGGAGGCAAAGGAGGAGCAAAGUCACAUCUUAAAUGGCGGCAGGCAAGAAAGUGUGUGCAGGGGAACUUCCCUUUAUAAAACCAUCACAUCUUGUGAGAUAUCCACUAUCACAAGAACAGCACGGGAAAGACCUGCCUCUGUGAUUAAAUUACCUCCCACUGGUUCCCUCAUGACACAUGGGAAUUAUGGGAACUACAAUUUAAGAUGAGAUUUGGGUAGGGACACAGCCAAGCUAUAUCACUCACUGUGUUGCCUACGCUGGUCUCCAACUCCUGGGCUCAAGUGAUCCUCCCACAUUGGCCUCCCAGUAGCUGGGACUACAAGCAUGAGCCACUGCACCUCACUCCUUUGCACAUUUUUAAAUCAGAUUGUUUUGUUUUUGUUGUUGUUGUUGAGUUGUAGGAGCUAUUUCUAUAUUCUGGAUAUUAACACCUUAUCAGAUGUAUGAUUUGCAAACAUUUUUUUCCCAUUCCAUUGGUUGCCUUUUCACUCUGUUGAUUGUGUCCUUUGAUGCAGAGAAGUUUCUAAGUUUAAUGUAGUAUAAUUUAUCUAUUUUAUGGCUGGGCCUGGUGGCUGACACCUGUAAUCCCAGCACUUUGGGAGGUUGAGGUGGGUAGAUUGCUUGAGCCUAAGAGUUUGAGACCAGCCUGGGCAACAUGGCAAAACCUUGCCUCUACUAAAACACAGAAAAAUUAGCCAGGUGUGGUGGCAUGCAUCUGUGGUCCCAGUUACUCGAGAAGCUGAGAUGAGAGGAUUGCUUAAGCCUGGCAGGUUAAGGCUGCAGUGAGCCAUAAUUAUGGCAAUGCACUCCAGCCCGGGUGACAGAGCAAGACCCUGUCUCAAACAAACAAACAAAACAUUUAUCUAUUUUACUUUUGUGGCCUGUGCUCUUGGUAACACAACCAAGAAAUCAUUGUCAAAUCCAAUGUCAUUGUAAAGCUUUCCCUCUAUGUUUUCUUCUAGAAAUUUUAUAGUUCAGGCCUUACAUUUAGGUCUUUGAUCUAUUUUAUGUUAAUUGUUACAAACGGUGUAAGGUAAGGGUCCCACUUUCUUCUUCUGCAUAUGGACAUUCAUGUUUUCCCAAUAUUAUUUGUUGAAAAGACCCCUUUCUCCAUUGAAUGGUCUCAACACCCAUGUAAAAAGUCAUUCAAUCAUAUAGGCAAGGGUUUACUUCUGGGCUUUCUCUUCUAUUCCAUUGGUCUAUGUGUCUGUUUUUAUGCCAGUACCACACUGUUUUGAUUAUUGUUACCAUAUAUGACUAUCUAAAAAAUUUUAUGUAUGUAUAAAAAUUUUUAUGUAUGUAUACAUAAAAUUUAUACAUACAUAAAAUUUUUUUUGAGACAGUCUUGCUCUGUUGCCCAGGCUGGAGUACAGUGGCACAAUCUAGGCUCAGCUCACUGCAACCUCCGCUUCCGGGCAAGCGAUUCUCGUCUUGUAAUAUAUUUUGAAAUCAGGAAGUGUGAUGCCUCCAGCUUUGUCCUUCUUUCUCAAGCUUAUUUUGGCUAUCCAGGGUCCCUUGAGAGUCCACAUAAAUUUUAGGAUAAAUUUUUAAUUGGAAUUUUUAAUAGGGAUUACAUUAAGUUUGCUUAAUGUAAUCAUAAUGCAUAUGAUUUUCUUAUGCCCCCAACAAAUAUGAAAUCAUAACCAUAAUCAUUUGCUAAAUGAUUACAUUAAGAUUGUUUUGGGUAGUGUUGACAUUUUGACAAAACUAAAUCUUCCAAUCAUGAGCACAGAUGUCAUUCCAUUUAUUUGUGUCUUCUUUAAGUGCUUUCAGCAAUGUUUUAAAGUUUUAGCUUACAAGUCUUUUGUCUUCUUGGUUAAGUUUAUUUCCAAGUAUUUUAUUCUUUUUGAUACUAUUGUAAAUGAAAUUGCUUUUGUAAUUCCCUGCAGCCUGUUUCAUGCUCUGAGCAGAACUGCAUUGCGUACAAUGAAUCACCUACACUCACAGGUAAGAGUGUACUACUUUUGUAAUAAUGUAAAUUUUUCUAAAACCACAAAAUGGAAAAUGCAUCUUAUUUGCUUUUAACGUUUUAGCAGAUGAUGUGGUCAAGUAAAUAAAUAAAAGGAGAGAAAGAGAA